rnacentral:rRNA from 1 species
AUUUCCAGCAGUUCCAGAAUAUUAGUCAAUGCUCGAAAGAGUGAACUAGCUAACUGAAAUCAAUUAUAAAUUGAUAACAUAAGGGAAAAUAAUGAUAUUACCUUAUUAUUAGUGUCGUCCAAAUCUGGUGCCAGAAGACUCGGUAAGGCCAGAGACACAAACGUUAAUCGUCUUAAUCAGGCGUAAAGGGUUUGUAGGCGGCUUUAAAAUUUACUUAUAAAAUUAAAUAAGUAAAGAAUAAAAGCUAGAAUCAAAUAGAGGAUAGAUCAAAUAAUGCUUAGAGUAGAUCCGAUAUUCUUAGAUACUAAGUAGAAUAUUAAAGGCGAAAGCUUUUUUCCAUUAAUGAUUGACGCUCAGAAACGAAGGUGAGGAUAGGAAAUAGGAUUAGAUACCCAGAAUACCCCUCUCUGUCAACGAUGAAUGGUAGUUAUUAGUAAAAAUUUAUUAAUAGCAAUGUUAACACGAUAACCAUUCCGCCUUGUGAGUACAAUUGCAAAGUUGAAAACAAAAAAAUAGUCGGUUCGGAGCAAACGAAGUGAAGCAUGUUAUUUAAUUCGAAUAAUCCGCAA